UGGGGUGAACUAGAGGAGCUCCAAGAAUCCCAGUCCUGUUUAGCUUCUUGCAUGUAUUUAUCCUUGUUGACAGCGUGAACAAAGAAAACAAACCACAGCUGGAUCCAGGAAGGCAAACCUUCGCUCACGAUUUGCCCGCACUCACGAUGAAACAUACUACUAAAAAAACACCAAGAUCCCUGAGAAAUGAGAUCCCCAGUCCCUGGCUCAUAAAUAUUGAAAGAAAGCCCUGCCUGGCCACCGUUAAGACUGAAGAUGUCACCUCCUCUGGGAAGUACUUUCGAGAUCACAAGCAGGCGGAGAGAGA